rnacentral:rRNA from 1 species
CCUACGGGAGGCAGCAGUGAGGAAUAUUGGUCAAUGGACGAGAGUCUGAACCAGCCAAGUAGCGUGAAGGAUGACUGCCCUAUGGGUUGUAAACUUCUUUUAUAUGGGAAUAAAACGUUCCACGUGUGGGAUUUUGUAUGUACCAUAUGAAUACGGAUCGGCUAACUCCGUGCCAGCAGCCGCGGUAAUACGGAGGAUCCGAGCGUUAUCCGGAUUUAUUGGGUUUAAAGGGAGCGUAGGUGGAUUGUUAAGUCAGUUGUGAAAGUUUGCGGCUCAACCGUAAAAUUGCAGUUGAAACUGGCAGUCUUGAGUACAGUAGAGGUGGGCGGAAUUCGUGGUGUAGCGGUGAAAUGCUUAGAUAUCACGAAGAACUCCGAUUGCGAAGGCAGUUCACUGGACUGCAACUGACACUGAGGCUCGAAAGUGUGGGUAUCAAACAGGAUUAGAUACCCGAGUAGUC